rnacentral:rRNA from 1 species
AACGAACGCUGGCGGCGUGGAUAAGACAUGCAAGUCGAACGAGAGAAUUGCUAGCUUGCUAAUAAUUCUCUAGUGGCGCACGGGUGAGUAACACGUGAGUAACCUGCCCCCGAGAGCGGGAUAGCCCUGGGAAACUGGGAUUAAUACCGCAUAGUAUCGAAAGAUUAAAGCAGCAAUGCGCUUGGGGAUGGGCUCGCGGCCUAUUAGUUAGUUGGUGAGGUAACGGCUCACCAAGGCGAUGACGGGUAGCCGGUCUGAGAGGAUGUCCGGCCACACUGGAAAUGAGACACGGUCCAGACACCUACGGGUGGCAGCAGUCGAGAAUCAUUCACAAUGGGGGAAACCCUGAUGGUGCGACGCCGCGUGGGGGAAUGAAGGUCUUCGGAUUGUAAACCCCUGUCAUGUGGGAGCAAAUUAAAAAGAUAGUACCACAAGAGGAAGAGACGGCUAACUCUGUGCCAGCAGCCGCGGUAAUACAGAGGUCUCAAGCGUUGUUCGGAAUCACUGGGCGUAAAGCGUGCGUAGGCUGUUUCGUAAGUCGUGUGUGAAAGGCGCGGGCUCAACCCGCGGACGGCACAUGAUACUGCGAGACUAGAGUAAUGGAGGGGGAACCGGAAUUCUCGGUGUAGCAGUGAAAUGCGUAGAUAUCGAGAGGAACACUCGUGGCGAAGGCGGGUUCCUGGACAUUAACUGACGCUGAGGCACGAAGGCCAGGGGAGCGAAAAGGGAUUAGAUACCCCUGUAGUCCUGGCAGUAAACGGUGCACGCUUGGUGUGCGGGGAAUCGACCCCCUGCGUGCCGGAGCUAACGCGUUAAGCGUGCCGCCUGGGGAGUACGGUCGCAAGAUUAAAACUCAAAGAAAUUGACGGGGACCCGCACAAGCGGUGGAGUAUGUGGCUUAAUUCGAUGCAACGCGAAGAACCUUACCUGGGCUUGACAUGUAAUGAACAACAUGUGAAAGCAUGCGACUCUUCGGAGGCGUUACACAGGUACUGCAUGGCCGUCGUCAGCUCGUGUCGUGAGAUGCUUGGUUAAGUCCAGCAACGAGCGCAACCCCUGUUGCCAGUUACCAGCACGUGAAGGUGGGGACUCUGGCGAGACUGCCCAGAUCAACUGGGAGGAAGGUGGGGACGACGUCAGGUCAGUAUGGCCCUUAUGCCCAGGGCUGCACACGUACUACAAUGCCCAGUACAGAGGGGGCCGAAGCCGCGAGGCGGAGGAAAUCCUGAAAACUGGGCCCAGUUCGGACUGUAGGCUGCAACCCGCCUACACGAAGCCGGAAUCGCUAGUAAUGGCGCAUCAGCUACGGCGCCGUGAAUACGUUCCCGGGUCUUGCACU